GUAUGAACGGCUAAAUGAGGACAAAACUGUCUCCUUCGACCAAUCAAUGAACCUGAUCUUCUAGUACAAAAGCUAGAAUAAACCCAUAAGACGAGAAGACCCUGUGGAGCUUAAAAUACUGCUGUUAGCCCGCAUAAAACCCACCAAGGCCCACAACACCAGCAUAACCACAUAUUUUUAGUUGGGGCGACUGCGGAACUAAAACCAGCUUCCACGACACGGACCACCCGUCCACCAAAGGUUAACAAACCAACGCACACCUUGACCCAGUAACACCGAUCAACGAACCAAGUUACCCCAGGGAUAACAGCGCCAUCCUCUUCAAGAGCCCAUAUCGCCAAGAGGGUUUACGACCUCGAUGUUGGAUCAGGACCCCCAGGUGGUGCAACCGCUACCAACGGUUCGUUUG
rnacentral:rRNA from 1 species